AAAAACUUGCUGGUUUUACGGCUCAGGGGGCAUCACGGAACCUGCCGACAUGUGAUGUCUCCCCCGGACACCCAGCUUUAAAAUUUCUCUCUUGUACUCUUUCCCUUUAUUUCUAGACCGGCCAACACUUAGAGAAAUAGAAAAGAACCUAUGUGAAAUAUCGGGGGCUGGUUUCCCCUGAUAGUGAAGGAGACAGGUUAGAUACACUGGAGCUUCCACACAGGAGAGAGGGAAGGAGCUGGAGAAGAAGUGGUUCCAGGCCGUGCGGCUGUGUGAAUCUACCUGAUGACCCUCGGCUGCUUGGGUACUGCCAUGGAUAGCGCAUGUGUUGGCUUUGUCCAGCUUUGGGCUUUUUCCCACAUUGAUUUUAAAAAGACAGGAGCCACAGAUUUUGGAGUACUGCAAAAUGACUUUCCAAAUUGAUGAACCAUGGACUCCAAGCUGGAUAGACACAGAAAUGAAAAGAAGGGACUAAUAGGGAAUAAGACGUGUGAUCCAUGGCCCGAUGGCCCUGAUGGACGUGAAGAUCCACUGUUGUGGGAGGAGUGGAACACUAACACUGAAUGAUGGAGGCUGUGGUCAGAAACAGGGAUUAGCAACCCACUCUCCACCAAAUUUCAAGUCACUAGGGGCAUUAUGCUAUGUCCCAGGAGUGGCCAAGGCUUCAAGGACCAAUGAUAGACCUGCUGCUCUAACCUAGGCCUGCUGAGGAGUACAAUUCAACCUGUGUUUCUGUGUGGUUCAGCAAUCUUGCUGAGCUCCUCUAAGUCAGUCCAUCCUGCCACAGCUGGGAAGAAUCAAGAAACUCUCCAAGAAGACGUUUAUUGGUUGAUAAAAAUCUGUUUAUCUGCCUGUUGCCAAUGAGAAGACAGGUCUGCUGACCAUGGCAGGCAUGGCAGCACGUGACACCGUGUUUGCUGCUCACUGCAUGUUCCACCUGAACUUUCCCGUCCGGUCAAUGAGUCUUGACAGUGGGGUGAAGGGGACUCACUCUCAAAGACCAAGGCUGACCCGCUUUGAGUACAAUGCCUUGACCUAGUUACUGUCACUGUGGUUUUGUCUUCAGGAACUAAAAGGUACAAUAAAAACUUGUUCAUUU
rnacentral:lncRNA from 1 species